UGGUGGAGCGAUUUGUCUGGUUAAUUCCGAUAACGAACGAGACUCUAGCCUGCUAAUUAGUGCAUCUGUCCACUGCGCCUGUGUAAGUGGCGUUUGGCGAAGCUGCUCACGUUAGCUGCUGUGGUUUGGACUGGCGGUGUUCGCAUCUGCUGGCCCGGCUGCGGCGGUGUGGGUGGCGGAUCCGGCGUUUGCUUCCGGGUGCGGCGCAGGUGUUUA
rnacentral:rRNA from 1 species